AAGGUCUUAGGUUAAUUUAUAAACUUUAAUCCUUCAAAGUUUAAUUUAGUAGUUCAAGUCUAUUAGACUUUA
rnacentral:tRNA from 1 species